CGGCAUGCCUAAGACAUGCAAGUCGUACGAGGAAGCCCAUUGAAGUGGAGUGCUGCACAAGAUGGAUUGGAUACUUCUAGUGGCGGACGGGUGAGUAACACGUGGUAAUCUGCCUUUAAGUGGGACAACAGUUGGAAACGACUGCUAAUACCGAAUAUGAUCUAGAAAUGAUUUUUCUAUAUUGAAAGGUGCCUUUAAAGCAUCGCUUAAAGAUGAGCCUGCGGCGUAUUAGCUAGUUGGUGGGGUAACGGCCUACCAAGGCGACGAUGCGUAGCCGAACUGAGAGGUUGAUCGGCCACAUUGGGACUGAGACACGGCCCAAACUCCUACGGGAGACAGCAGUUAGGAAUAUUCGUCAAUGGGGGGAAACCCUGAACGAGCAAUGCCGCGUGAGUGAUGACGGUCCUUUUGGAUUGUAAAACUCUGUUGUAUGGGAAGAACAUGUGAUAUAGGAAAUGAUAUCAUACUGACGGUACCAUGCCAGAAAGCCCCGGCUAACUACGUGCCAGCCGCAGC
rnacentral:rRNA from 1 species